AACGAACGCUGGCGGCAGGCUUAACACAUGCAAGUCGAACGCCCCGCAAGGGGAGUGGCAGACGGGUGAGUAACGCGUGGGAACAUACCCUUUCCUGCGGAAUAGCUCCGGGAAACUGGAAUUAAUACCGCAUACGCCCUACGGGGGAAAGAUUUAUCGGGGAAGGAUUGGCCCGCGUUGGAUUAGCUAGUUGGUGGGGUAAAGGCCUACCAAGGCGACGAUCCAUAGCUGGUCUGAGAGGAUGAUCAGCCACAUUGGGACUGAGACACGGCCCAAACUCCUACGGGAGGCAGCAGUGGGGAAUAUUGGACAAUGGGCGCAAGCCUGAUCCAGCCAUGCCGCGUGAGUGAUGAAGGCCUUAGGGUUGUAAAGCUCUUUCACCGAUGAAGAUAAUGACGGUAGUCGGAGAAGAAGCCCCGGCUAACUUCGUGCCAGCAGCCGCCGCGGUAA
rnacentral:rRNA from 1 species